GCCAGUAUUCCUUAGAAGAUGAAGAAUCUGAAGGCCAUGGGAAUCAGUUGAAGUAGUUCUCCAAGCUCUUCGAACCACCUCCUUGAUGCUCUCCUAAGCAAACCAAUAGUUAUAGAACCUGAAUUGGGGUCUCAUAGGAUGAUCGUUGAAUGAUCGAAUCUGCAAUAAAAGAGGGCAAUAAUCUAAGCCAAUUCUUGAGAGGUGAAUAACUUUGGAUUCAGAAAAUAUUCUCAACCAAUUAUCAGUUACCAAAGCUCUGUCUAAAUAUUCCCAUACUCUAGCAUGCCC
rnacentral:lncRNA from 1 species